CGCGGCCUAUCAGCUUGUUGGUGGGGUAGUGGCCUACCAAGGCGGCGACGGGUAGCCGGCCUGAGAGGGUGACCGGCCACAUUGGGACUGAGAUACGGCCCAGACUCCUACGGGAGGCAGCAGUGGGGAAUAUUGCACAAUGGGCGCAAGCCUGAUGCAGCAACGCCGCGUGCGGGAUGACGGCCUUCGGGUUGUAAACCGCUUUCAGCAGGGACGAAGCUUUUUGUGACGGUACCUGCAGAAGAAGCACCGGCUACCUACGUGCCAGCAGCCGCGGUGAUACGUAGGGUGCGAGCGUUGUCCGGAUUUAUUGGGCGUAAAGGGCUCGUAGGCGGUUGAUCGCGUCGGAAGUGGAAACUUGAUGCUUAACGUUGAGCGUGCUUUCGAUACGGGUUGACUUGAGGAAGGUAGGGGAGAAUGGAAUUCCUGGUGGAGCGGUGGAAUGCGCAGAUAUCAGGAGGAACACCAGUGGCGAAGGCGGUUCUCUGGACCUUUCCUGACGCUGAGGAGCGAAAGCGUGGGGAGCGAACAGGCUUAGAUACCCUGGUAGUCCACGCUGUAAACGGUGGGUACUAGGUGUGGGGUCCAUUCCACGGAUUCUGUGCCGUAGCUAACGCAUUAAGUACCCCGCCUGGGGAGUACGG
rnacentral:rRNA from 1 species